rnacentral:rRNA from 1 species
CGGUUAUACAAAAAUUAAAUUAAAUUAUUUCAGUGAUAUAAUAAAUAAAAUUAUAAUUAAAUUAAAUAUUAAAUUAUUAGGUAAAAUUUUAAUUUAAUUAAAUUUUUUAAAAAAUUAUGAUUUAAUAAAUUUAACAAUAAACUAGGAUUAGAUACCCUAUUAUUAAAAAUUUAAAUUGUAAAUACUAAAAUAGUAAAUAAUAAAUAUUGAAACUUAAAUAAUAUGGCGGUAUUUUAGUUCAUUUAGAGGAAUCUGUCUAAUAAUUGAUAAUCCACGAAUAAAUUUACUUAAUUUAAAAUUUUAUAUAUCGUUGUUAUAAAAAUAUUUUUUAGUAAAAAUAAUAUUUAAAAAUUAAUAUAAAAAAUUAAUUCAGAUCAAGAUGUAGAAUAUAAUUAAGAAUAUGAUGGAUUACAAUAAAAUAAUUUAUAUGAAUAAUUAAAUUGUAAAAUUAAUUUGAAGGUGGAUUUAAAUGUAAUUUUAAUUAAUUUAUUAAAAUGAUUAAAAAUUAAAAUAUGUACAUAUUGCCCGUCACUUUCAUUUUAAAAUUGAAAUAAGUCG